rnacentral:rRNA from 1 species
AUUGAACGCUGGCGGCGUGCUUUACACAUGCAAGUCGGACGAGUGGCGAACGGGUGAGUAACGCCUGGGAAAGUGCCCAGUGAUGGGGGAUAACUAUCGGAAAGGGAAGCUAAUACCGCAUACUAUUCGCGCGGCCGAGGUCGGAUUAGCUGGUUGGCGGGGUAAAGGCACACCAAGGCGACGAUCAGUAGCGGGUCUGAGAGGAUGAUCAGCCACACUGGGACGGAGACACGGUCCAGACUCCUACGGGAGGCAGCAGUGGGGAAUUUUGGACAAUGGGCGCAAGCCUGAUCCAGCCAUGCCGCGUGUCUGAAGAAGGCCUUCGGGUUGUAAAGGACUUUUGUCAGGGAAGCGGUACCUGCAGAAUAAGCACCGGCUAACUACGUGCCAGCAGCCGCGGUAAUUC